rnacentral:rRNA from 1 species
UACAGAGGGGGCAAGCGUUAUUCGGAAUUAUUGGGCGUAAAGGGCGCGUAGGCGGCUUGGCAAGUGGAAGGUGAAAUCCCUCGGCUUAACCGAGGAACUGCCCUCCAAACUGCUUCGCUUGAGACCGGGAGAGGUGAGUGGAAUUCCCAGUGUAGCGGUGAAAUGCGUAGAUAUUGGGAGGAACACCAGUGGCGAAGGCGGCUCACUGAACCGGUACUGACGCUGAUGCGCGAAAGCGUGGGGAGCAAACGGG